CGUGACCACGUAAAUCUUGCCAUCUCUUCCACCAAUGGCAUUUUUCCCAAACCCAAUUGCGCAAUCUGCCAGCCUCUGCCUGUUCUGCUCCCAAUUUGGGUCACAUCGCCAGCAAUCAUCAAUGGGGUUUCCAGUCCCGCAUGACAAGUAGCCCAAGUUCCUCCUAGAAACAGAGUCAUUGAUGCUCCUGCAGCCCCAACAAGGAAAAAAUGUCAUAUUUUUUCAAGUGUAGUCUAAUGUACGAGGAGAGGAAUUGAACUCGGAUGCAAAAAGACGGGCACAAUGCCGUGACAAAAGAGAUGUUAUAAAUAUAAAUAUGCAAGUUAGUUCUUGAGAGCUACCAUAAUAAUUAUUGGUGGAGCCUUACCUUUGUACAUCUUGUACAACCAAUUCAGGGUUUUGCUGCAGUGGUCUGGAGGCAAUGAGGGUUGGGGUGAGGAGACAGAAGAGGAGGAAGCUGAGGAGAGAGAGAGGUGAGGGGCCUAAGGAGGGCCUCGCCAUUUUGGCCUUGUGUGUGUUUUAGGUGUGCAAGGCACUAGGGUAGCAAAGCAGAGAGGAGAAAAGGAAGUGUGUUUGUG
rnacentral:lncRNA from 1 species